UUGAGAACUAACUGACCAGAGA
rnacentral:miRNA from 1 species